ensembl:lncRNA
AUCUUGCCUGGGAGGGGAACCGGGAGAGGAAGCGCGACCCCGCCCGAGGAACAAGGGCGGCGGGGUUAUCUGUAGGAAACAUCAAAGUAUCUUCUAUCAUGGACGAGUCAAAUGAACACAAAGUAAGCAAACAGCCUGUGAUAGAAGGUGCGAUUGGGUGCCUGGUUAAAGCACGUCCUGGUACAGCAGUGGUUCUCAUGUGGCACUACCACAGUAGUUAUCUAAAGGAGAGGUUGGAGGAGGAGUGCUGAAGAAGGCUGUUGAGCACCUUCAGGAACUGAUAAAGCUGAAGAACACUUCUCAAAUGCUUGUAGUAAAUCAUAAGAAACGUUGCUACGUCCGGUUGAAAAUCACAUGGCUUCAAGAAUCAGAUUCCUGAGCCUUUGCUGAGUGUUAAAAGCAAAAGUGACUUCAAGAGAAAGUGGGGCUUUGUUAGUUUAUCGCAGACAGGUGAUGUGGAAGAUGUUUUUCCAAGGCAAUGGGCACAGGAAAGUGUUUCAAAUUAGCAUCCCGCUGGCAGAAGCGGUUGCAACGUGAAUUCCUUUCUAGCCGGCCUAGCAGCAGCCACCAAGCAGAAACCAACUGGAAUAAAUGCUUCUGCUCCUGAGCAAGCUGGAAGCAGACCUGGGAGCAGGAAUUAGAUGAUAUUCUACACCAGCACAGAAUAAACUGUGUGAGAAUGAGAGAAAAUGGGAUCAGUGAAUGAAAAGGGUUAAUAUAAUGAGUAAAGAAAAAAAUGGAUCUCUUGGAAAUUCCGUAAUUCAAGCUCUUAGUUACUUCAGAGCAAGGUGGUACUCAGAAUUAUUUGUUUUCUGAAUUUAAACUGACCGUUAUUAUGUGCAACAGUGGAAAUUAAUGGUUUCCACUGUUGUUGUUGAUUGUCAUCUGAAGUCAGUUGUGCCAUUACUGGCUUUGCAAGACUGUUCUGUCCAUCAGCUAUUUGAAAAGGGGACGCUGCCCUUUUUUCUUCUCCACCUUGUUGCUCAUCCAGCAAACUGCACAACUGAUUGCCAGUGGCUGCUGAAAAGCCAAGGUCUGUUUGAAAAAUUUUGAAGGUUGUGGGAGGACUGAAGUUUGUCCCUUCCACUAUCAUCUCUACCUGCUGAAAAGCAGAAGAUGCUUCUUUUGUUUACUACAUGGGUGCCCUGAGCCAUGCCUCCCUCUGGAAGAGCCUCUCAUCUAUACAAAACUGAGGGAAUCUGGAACAGUUCCCAGCUCCAAGGAUUUUGUUUUGUGCAUUGAUUGAUAUCAAGUGGUUGCAAUUUACAUUCUUUACCUGCACUAGAGGCCGUCCUCACAGAGAUGCCUUCAACAGCCAAAUGCAUUCAUAACCUUUGCAGUGUUCAAAAGGACUGUCGCAAUAGUUGUGUUCAUGCUUACAUUCAUGAUACAACAUUUACUGAAGAAUAAAUUAAAUUGAUAAAGAUAGGAAAAUGAUAUUCUGGUUGAGUUACUAAACACUUGUAAUUAAGUAUGGAUAUCAUGCACAAGGUAUUAAUAUUGUGACUUUAGGGAAUCGAGUUUCUUAGUCCAGUUUUUCUUGAUAAUCUUAGGCUUAAAACUUCCCAGGAAGGUGAGGGGAGAGUACGAAUUGUCUAUGUGGAGAACAAUGCAUAUGGAAAAGUUGUGUGAGUUUGCAUACAUUGGAAGCUUGGCAUUAGAGAAUAGCCUUGUUCUCCAUCCUCAGCUCCAGCUUUGCUUCUCUCAGUUUUUGUCAGUCUCCAAUUGUUUUUUGCACCAAUUACAGUGAUAAAGUCAGUAGAAGAAGAAUACUCUUAUUAAAUAAAAUAUUUUAAGGGUACUGUGACCUGCUAAACAUCAAUAUUGCUAAGACUGAGAGACUAUUUUUAAUAAAUUGCUUACCAGGAUUUUUUAAAUCU